rnacentral:lncRNA from 1 species
GAUGUACAAGUUUGUCAAGCUUUACAAACACUAAUUGAUUUUUGAAAUUGGGGCAUGCUCCCUCGAUAGAUAUCUAAUAUUGUUGUGAAAUUAGAUUAAACGGAUACUUUAAGACUUGGGACAUUCCUCAAUCAUUGUCGCAAUGGGCAUUGUGGGCUCUACAUAUGGCCAGGGAUUGCAGCAGGUUGCUAAUCUAGUGAUUACCAAUCCAGUAACAACUUAUUUGGUGAGAAUUGACGUCACAUGCUAGCCGUGGUGUGGUGUUUGAUGAAUGAUUAAUUAUUGUGUACUUCCAAGUUCCAAGCAACACCUUACUGAAAUGCCAUCUGACCUUCUUCUCAAAGGGAGACAUGAUACGAAUAAGGCAGCAUGGUGUAGUAGGAGGAUAUAGUUGUGCGUCGUCUGUCUGUGUCUGUUUGUUUGCUGGGAAAGUGCCAAAGAGCAUAAGCAUCUGCAUCUGCAUCUGCAUCUGCACUACACAGAAAGAGAGCAAACUUGUUUAUUUGGCAAUCUCUCUCCCGUGAACAUCAUUUGGGAGUUUGUGGAGGAAACAUACAAAACAUUACCCAUAUUUUUGUUAUAAUGCAGCGUGAGUAUUCACAUGCAUUUGCUUCUUUGGUCUCUUUCACGGUUUCUAGCUGUUAGUUUCUACACCCCCACCCACCCACCAAGCUUAUUCCGAUUUCCUCCCAUCAGCCAGUCCACUCUUUCUAUCUCCUCCUUCUGUUCAUCAUCUUCUUCUCCUUCUUUCUUCAAACAAUGG